GAUGAACGCUGGCGGCGUGCCUAAUACAUGCAAGUAGAACGCUGAAGCUUGGUGCUUGCACCGAGCGGAUGAGUUGCGAACGGGUGAGUAACGCGUAGGUAACCUGCCUGGUAGCGGGGGAUAACUAUUGGAAACGAUAGCUAAUACCGCAUGACAACAGUUAUUGCAUGAUAACUGUUUAAAAGGGGCAAUUGCUCCACUACCAGAUGGACCUGCGUUGUAUUAGCUAGUUGGUGAGGUAACGGCUCACCAAGGCGACGAUACAUAGCCGACCUGAGAGGGUGAUCGGCCACACUGGGACUGAGACACGGCCCAGACUCCUACGGGAGGCAGCAGUAGGGAAUCUUCGGCAAUGGACGGAAGUCUGACCGAGCAACGCCGCGUGAGUGAAGAAGGUUUUCGGAUCGUAAAGCUCUGUUGUAAGAGAAGAACGAGUGUGAGAGUGGAAAGUUCACACUGUGACGGUAGCUUACCAGAAAGGGACGGCUAACUACGUG
rnacentral:rRNA from 1 species